AGAGCGAACGCUGGCGGCAGGCCUAACACAUGCAAGUCGAGCGGCCGUAGCAAUACGGCAGCGGCAGACGGGAGAGUAACACGUGGGAACGCGCCUUUCGGUUCGGAAUAACUCAGGGAAACUUGGGCUAAUACCGGAUACGCCCUUACGGGGAAAGAUUUAUUGCCGAAGGAACGGCCCGCGUCCGAUUAGCUUGUUGGUGAGGUAACGGCUCACCAAGGCGACGAUCGGUAGCUGGUCUGAGAGGACGAUCAGCCACACUGGAACUGAGACACGGUCCAGACACCUACGGGUGGCAGCAGUCGAGAAUUUUCUCAAUGGGGGAAACCCUGAAGGAGCGACGCCGCGUGGAGGAUGAAGGUCUUCGGGUUGUAAACUCCUGUCAUUUGGGAACAAUGCGCAAAUAUUAACUGUAUUUGCGUUGAUAGUACCAGAAGAGGAAGGACGGCUAACGUCUAGUGCCAGCAGCCGC
rnacentral:rRNA from 1 species